rnacentral:rRNA from 1 species
GACGUAGGGCGCGAGCGUUGUCCGGAUUUAUUGGGCGUAAAGAGCUCGUAGGCGGCUUGUCGCGUCGUCCGUGAAAACCUGCGGCUCAACUGCAGGCUGGCGGUCGAUACGGGCAGGCUGGAGUACUGCAGGGGAGACUGGAAUUCCUGGUGUAGCGGUGGAAUGCGCAGAUAUCAGGAGGAACACCGGUGGCGAAGGCGGGUCUCUGGGCAGUAACUGACGCUGAGGAGCGAAAGCGUGGGGAGCGAACAGGA